rnacentral:rRNA from 1 species
UUUAGUAACUCCUGCUCAAUGAAAUUUUAAUAGCCGCAGUCUUCUGUGCUAAGGUAGCAUAAUCACUUGCCUAACAAUUAUAGGAUGGAAUGAAAGGAAGCACAUGCGAAUUUCUUUAUUAAAAAGAUUACUUUAAUUUCAUUAACAAAUAAAAACUUUUUGUUCUAUAAAGUGGGACGAUAAGACCCUAUCAAACUUUACAUUCAUGUUUAGCUGGGGCGGCAAAAAAAUUAUAUCUUUUUCCUAGAUCUCUUAUCUUAACCUAAAUUUUAGAUUUUACCAAUGUUACUGUAGGGAUAACAGCAUAAUCUUUUCUAAAAGAUCUUAUAAAAGAAAAAGUUUUUGACCUCGAUGUUGAAUUAAAACUCUCCUAGAAGCAGUUUUCUAGAAAGUAAGUCUGUUCGACUUUUAAAAUUUU